CGGGUGAGUAAUGUAUGGGGAUCUGCCUGAUGGCGGGGGAUAACUACUGGAAACGGUAGCUAAUACCGCAUAAUGUCUGCGGACCAAAGCGGGGGACCUCCGGGCCUCGCGCCAUCAGAUGAACCCAUAUGGGAUUAGCUAGUAGGUAAGGUAACGGCUUACCUAGGCGACGAUCCCUAGCUGGUCUGAGAGGAUGAUCACCCACACUGGGACUGAGGCACGGCCCAG
rnacentral:rRNA from 1 species